rnacentral:rRNA from 1 species
UACGUAGGGUGCAAGCGUUAAUCGGAAUUACUGGGCGUAAAGCGUGCGCAGGCGGUUGUGCAAGACAGAUGUGAAAUCCCCGGGCUUAACCUGGGAACUGCAUUUGUGACUGCACGGCUAGGGUGUGUCAGAGGGGGGUAGAAUUCCACGUGUAGCAGUGAAAUGCGUAGAGAUGUGGAGGAAUACCGAUGGCGAAGGCAGCCCCCUGGGAUAACACUGACGCUCAUGCACGAAAGCGUGGGGAGCAAACAGG